rfam:Nicotiana attenuata strain TT scaffold04057, whole genome shotgun sequence.
AGGAGCCGUAUGAGGUGAAAAUCUCAUGUACGGUUUUGGAACAAAGAUUCUUUCAAUUGAAU